rnacentral:lncRNA from 1 species
UUAUUUUCUUGGAGUCUGUAGAGUUUAAGACUACACUGAUAUAUGUCUUUAUUGGAACUAAAAUAUAUAAUAAUAAGUUAUGACAUAAGUUAAUAAGUUUGUAUAAAUGGAAUUAUACUUUAUUUUAGUUGGAGUUGAAUUUAAAUAAGAUUGAAGUAUUUAGUUUUGCUUUUAAAAAGGUUGUUGACCAACAUGAAUUCUG